ACGACGUAUGGUUCUAGCGAGCCCAACCUCCCACCCGUGUUUACUGUACCUUAGUUGCUUCGGCGGGCCCGCCAUUCAUGGCCGCCGGGGGCUCUCAGCCCCGGGCCCGCGCCCGCCGGAGACACCACGAACUCUGUCUGAUCUAGUGAAGUCUGAGUUGAUUGUAUCGCAAUCAGUUAAAACUUUCAACAAUGGAUCUCUUGGUUCCGGCAUCGAUGAAGAACGCAGCGAAAUGCGAUAACUAGUGUGAAUUGCAGAAUUCCGUGAAUCAUCGAGUCUUUGAACGCACAUUGCGCCCCCUGGUAUUCCGGGGGGCAUGCCUGUCCGAGCGUCAUUGCUGCCCAUCAAGCACGGCUUGUGUGUUGGGUCGUCGUCCCCUCUCCGGGGGGGACGGGCCCCAAAGGCAGCGGCGGCACCGCGUCCGAUCCUCGAGCGUAUGGGGCUUUGUCACCCGCUCUGUAGGCCCGGCCGGCGCUUGCCGAACGCAAAUCAAUCUUUUUCCAGGUUGACCUCGGAUCAGGUAGGGAUACCCGCUGAACUUAAGCAUAUCA
rnacentral:rRNA from 1 species